rnacentral:lncRNA from 1 species
UAGUUGGACUGGGCUACUAUUAGUACCAAAAUCCUAUUGCUGCUACCAGUUCUUUAGCCUUUGGAUCAACUCUUUUCAUUAUUUCUAACCAUUGGAUUAAAUACUAUAACCGAGUGGGGACCACUCAACCCUAGGGGGACCACUCAACUCUAACCGACUAAUAUCAUCCUGACCCUACAAUUUUUCAUCAAAGGGUUAAAAACUUGAUAGCAAAAAGAGCAUUUUACUAUUAGUAAUAUUCCAGCCUAAUUCAUAUAUAUAUAUAUAUAUAUAGAGCUAGGCUAUUAUACUAUCUAUAGUACCGGAGCUUCGGUACUAUAGUAUUGUUUUCGAUCUUCGGGCAUUCAAAUUAACGAUCCACACCGUUAAAACUGAUCUAAGAUAUUUAAAAUUUUUAGAAAUAAAAUUUUAUAUUUUUUCGACAUAGUUUACUUUAUGAUCAAACCAUUUCAAAAUUGUCAAUUUUCAAAGGCUAUUAUGACGAGUUUGGAGUUUAACGAUAUAGAAGAAUGUAAAUUUCUUCAAAUUUUGAUAGAAAAUACUUUAAACUAUAUAGAUUAAGGUGAACAUUCUUGAUCUUGAAUUUAAAAGUCCUAUGCUCAUAUUUUAAAGAGUAUUGAAUUUCCACCGUUCAUUUUGACAUAAUUUAUUUACUAAGUAAACGAUAUUGAAAAAAACUAAAAUUUUAUUCCUAAGAACUUCAUAUACCCUAGAUCAUAUUUAACGGUGUGGAUCGUUGAUUUGAACGCCCUAAGAUCGAAAACUAUACUAUAAUACUGGAGCUCCGGUACUAUAGAUAGUAUAGUACCUAAUUCUAUAUAUAUAUA